rnacentral:tRNA from 1 species
GGUGGCUCAGUGGUAGAGCACUUGUUCUGCAUGCAUGAGGCCCUGGGUUCAAUUCCUCAGCACCA